rfam:Picea glauca, whole genome shotgun sequence.
ACAUGCCUACAACAUAGCACUAAUGCAUUGGAUCCCAUUAGAACUCUGCAGUUAAGAGCACUCGGGCUAGAGUAGUCCCCGGAUUGGUCACUUCCCGAGAAGUCUUAGUGUUUUACAUGCC